UUUCCGUAGGUGAACCUGCGGAAGGAUCAUUACUGAGUGAGGGCCCCUCGGGGUCCAACCUCCCACCCGUGUUUAACGAACCUUGUCGCUUCGGCGGGCCCGCCCCACGGCCGCCGCGGGGAAUCUGCCCCCGGGCCCCCCCCCGCCGAAGCCACGUGCGAACGCUGUCUUUAGUAUGCAGUAUGAGACAAUUAUUAAAUUAAUUAAAACUUUCAACAACGGAUCUCUUGGUUCCG
rnacentral:misc_RNA from 1 species